GGAAGCGUGGCCGAGCGGUUUAAGGCACCGGUCUUGAAAACCGGCGAGGGUUCACUCCCUCCGUGAGUUCGAAUCUCACCGCUUCCG
rnacentral:tRNA from 1 species